AUGCAAGUCGAGGGGUAACGGAAGUAGCUUGCUACUAGACGACGACCGGCGCACGGGUGAGUAACGCGUAUGUAAUCUGCCUUGUACAGAGGGAUAGCCCAGAGAAAUUUGGAUUAAUACCUCAUAGUAUUACCGAAUCGCAUGAUUUGGUAAUUAAAGCUCCGGCGGUACAAGAUGAACAUGCGUGACAUUAGCUAGUUGGUAAGGUAACGGCUUACCAAGGCCACGAUGUCUAGGGGUUCUGAGAGGAUGAUCCCCCACACUGGUACUGAGACACGGACCAGACUCCUACGGGAGGCAGCAGUGAGGAAUAUUGGUCAAUGGACGCAAGUCUGAACCAGCCAUCCCGCGUGAAGGAUGACUGCCCUAUGGGUUGUAAACUUCUUUUAUAUGCAAAUAAACCUACUUUCGUGAAAGUAGCUGAAGGUAGCAUAUGAAUAAACACCGGCUAACUCCGUGCCAGCAGCCGCGGUAAUACGGAG
rnacentral:rRNA from 1 species